AUUGAACGCUGGCGGCAUGCCUUACACAUGCAAGUCGAACGGCAGCACGGGAGCAAUCCUGGUGGCGAGUGGCGAACGGGUGAGUAAUAUAUCGGAACGUGCCCAGUCGUGGGGGAUAACGUAGCGAAAGCUACGCUAAUACCGCAUACGAUCUAUGGAUGAAAGCGGGGGGAUCGCAAGACCUCGCGCGAUUGGAGCGGCCGAUAUCAGAUUAGGUAGUUGGUGGGGUAAAAGCCUACCAAGCCUUCGAUCUGUAGCUGGUCUGAGAGGACGACCAGCCACACUGGAACUGAGACACGGUCCAGACUCCUACGGGAGGCAGCAGUGGGGAAUUUUGGACAAUGGGCGCAAGCCUGAUCCAGCCAUGCCGCGUGAGUGAAGAAGGCC
rnacentral:rRNA from 1 species